rfam:Astyanax mexicanus Tnplaced_Scaffold_283, whole genome shotgun sequence.
AAUAAUCAUUAUUGUAAGUCGCUUUGGACAAAAGCGUCUGCCAAAUGAAAUGUA